rnacentral:rRNA from 1 species
CGGGCUUGAACUAACGGUGACGAAUCUAGAGAUAGAUUUUUCUUCGGACACCGUUGGAGGUGCUGCAUGGUUGUCGUCAGCUCGUGCCGUGAGGUGUCGGCUUAAGUGCCAUAACGAGCGCAACCCUUCUCCUCGGUUGCCAUCGGGUAAUGCCGGGCACUCCGUGGACACUGCCAUCGUAAGAUGUGAGGAAGGUGGGGAUGACGUCAAAUCAGCACGGCCCUUACGUCCGGGGCUACACACGUGUUACAAUGGGGGGUACAGAAGGCCGCUACCCGGCGACGGGAUGCCAAUCUUUAAAACCUCUCUCAGUUCGGAUCGGAGUCUGCAACCCGACUCCGUGAAGCUGGAUUCGCUAGUAAUCGCGCAUCAGCCAUGGCGCGGUGAAUACGUUCCCGGGCC